CCAUGACAACCCAAGUCUGAUAUUAGUAAUCAGAGGUGCAGUGCAAUGCGCUCUUCUGUGCUUCCACUGGAGCAGUCACCCACUCAUAGUCUAAUAACCACGGUGUCUGUCCCCCGACUCAGAUCGGUUAAAUCAAAGGGGAGCAAAAGAUGCGCUACACUUAACAC